GCGAGUAUAGCUCAGUUGGUUAGAGCGCCUGGUUGUGGUCCAGGAAGUCGUGGGUUCGAAUCCCAUUACUCGCCCCG
rnacentral:tRNA from 1 species